CUCCAGCAGACCCUCCCUCCCAGACCCUCCCACCUUCAACAUGGAUGCUGUCCAGGAGGUGGGAGGGUCUGGGAGGGAGGGUCUGCUGGAG